AAAUUGUUGAAAGGGAAGCGCUUGUGACCAGACUUGCGCCGGGCGGCUCAUCAGGGGUUCUCCCCUGUGCACUCCGCCCGGCACAGGCCAGCAUCGGUUCUCGUGGGGGGAUAAGAACGGUGGGAACGUGGCCCCCCUCCGGGGGGGUGUUAUAGCCCGCCGUACGAUACCCUCGUGGGGACCGAGGUUCGCGCUCCGCAAGGAUGCUGGCGUAAUGGUCAUCAGCGACCCGUCUUGAAACACGGACCAAGGAGUCGUCCAUUAGAGCGAGCGUUUGGGUGUAAAACCCGCACGCGUAAUGAAAGUGAACGCAGGUGAGAGCUUCGGCGCAUCAUCGACCGAUCCUGAUGUCCUCGGAUGGAUUUGAGUAAGAGUUUUAACGGACGGACCCGAAAGACAGUGAACUAUGCUUGUAUAGGGUGAAGCCAGAGGAAACUCUGGUGGAGGCUCGCAGCGGUUCUGACGUGCAAAUCGAU
rnacentral:rRNA from 1 species